CAAAUGGCUCUUACACGGCGUUCUGUAUUAGCUGUUUCGUUUCUUAACCCAUGUUUCAUUUCACCAAAUGGCUAUACUUUAGCAUUUCGUUCGUAAAGGCCGGACUGGUCUCAGUUGAAAACGAGAAUAUGGUGGCCACACUAACUGACCCUUCACUGAAGUACAAGACUUAAUAAAGAAGAACACACAAAAUCGCCUACACCAAUACCCAGCGGAUGCACUGUUGUCAUGGAAACAGAAGAAGAGCACAAAUCAGAGAUUCAGGAUUUAGACGAGUUUAAUGACAUCAACAUCGACCAGAGAGCCCUGGAGUCGUUUGUUCCGGGGCGCUAUUUGAAAGCCACGUGUACAGAAAAGGAGAACAAAAUUCGGUCCAAUGUAGCCGAGCUGCUGGAC